rnacentral:rRNA from 1 species
AUUGAACGCUGGCGGCAGGCCUAACACAUGCAAGUCGAACGGUAACAGGAAGAAGCUUGCUUCUUUGCUGACGAGUGGCGGACGGGUGAGUAAUGUCUGGGAAACUGCCUGAUGGAGGGGGAUAACUACUGGAAACGGUAGCUAAUACCGCAUAACGUCGCAAGACCAAAGAGGGGGACCUUCGGGCCUCUUGCCAUCGGAUGUGCCCAGAUGGGAUUAGCUAGUAGGUGGGGUAACGGCUCACCUAGGCGACGAUCCCUAGCUGGUCUGAGAGGAUGACCGGCCACACUGGAACUGAGACAGGGUCCAGACGCCUACGGGAGGCAGCAGUGGGGAAUAUUGCACAAUGGGGGCAAGCCUGAUGCAGCCAGGCCGCGUGUAUGAAGAAGGCCUUCGGGUUGUAAAGUACUUUCAGCGGGGAGGAAGGGAGUAAAGUUAAUACCUUUGCUCAUUGACGUUACCCGCAGAAGAAGCACCGGCUAACUCCGUG